rnacentral:rRNA from 1 species
GUGAAUCAUCGAGUCUUUGAACGCACCUUGCGCUCCUUGGCAUUCCGAGGAGCAUGCCUGUUUGAGUGUCAUGUCAAUACUCAAAUCCAUGCCUUUGUGUAUGGGUUUGGACUUGAAGGGUUUGCUGGCUUUUCGGAGCUGGCUCCUUUUAAAUGCAUUAGCUGGUUUAUGAGCCUGUUUUUUCAGUGUUGUAAUUUUUUUAAUACGCGCUGUGAUGAACUAGUUCAACUUGCCGCUGAUAGACAACAUUUUUCUAUGUCUCUGACCUCAAAUCAGGUAGGAUUACCCGCUGAACUUAAGCAUAUCAAUAAGGCGAGG